rnacentral:misc_RNA from 1 species
AGCAGCCGCGGUAAUUCCAGCUCCAAUAGCGUAUGUUAAAGUUGUUGCAGUUAAAAGCUCGUAGUUGAAUUUCGGGGUUAGUAGGUUGGUCAUGCCUCUGGUAUGUACUGGUCUCACUGAUUCCUCCUUCCUGAUGAACCUUAAUGCCAUUAAUUUGGUGUUUUGGGGAAUUUGGACUGUUACUUUGAAAAAUUAGAGUGUUUAAAGCAAGCUAACGCUUGAAUACAUUAGCAUGGAAUAAUGAAAUAGGACGUUCGAUCCUAUUUUGUUGGUUUCUAGGAUUGACGUAAUGAUUAAUAGGGAUAGUUGGGGGCAUUAGUAUUCAAUUGUCAGAGGUGAAAUUCUUGGAUUUAUUGAAGACUAACUACUGCGAAAGCAUUUGCCAAGGAUGUUUUCAUUAAUCAAGAACGAAAGUUAGGGAUCGAAGACGAUCAGAUACCGUCGUAGUCUUAACCAUAAACUAUGCCGACUAGGGAUCGGAUGAUGUUAAUUUUUUAAUGUACUCAUUCGGCGCCUUACG